UACGUAGGGGGCAAGCGUUGUCCGGAAUUAUUGGGCGUAAAGGGCUCGUAGGCGGUCUGUCACGUCGGGAGUGAAAACUCAGGGCUUAACCCUGAGCCUGCUUCCGAUACGGGCUGACUAGAGGUAUGCAGGGGAGAACGGAAUUCCUGGUGUAGCGGUGAAAUGCGCAGAUAUCAGGAGGAACACCGGUGGCGAAGGCGGUUCUCUGGGCAUUACCUGACGCUGAGGAGCGAAAGUGUGGGGAGCGAACAGG
rnacentral:rRNA from 1 species